CUCUAUUCUCUAUGUUAUCUCCUCCUCAGUCACAUCUUUUUGGUGUGUGUGGACGUGUGUGUGUGUGUGUGUGGGUACAUGUGUGUGGGUCCACACGCAUGCUUGCAUCUGACGGAUUUUCUACUGGUUUGUAUUUUAGGCCUCUCAGGACCAGGAACGAGAAAAGCGAAGUUUGGAGAGUGGCAGUGAUGAACGGUUUUCUCGGUUUUAUGGGAACCGUUACUGGUAUCCAUUUGGACCCUACCAACCCUACCCACCCUACCCACCUUUUGGCUACCCCAGAUAUCCAUGGCUGUGGUAUUACUUUGUCUCAGCACCGCCUCCAGCAUCAGCUGCUCUUUCUAAAAAAAAUAAGUCAAACAGAGGACCAUGAGGUAAGUCCUAAUCACUCUACAAUGAAGUAAUAGUCCCCAACUCCAGUUCUGUCAGAACAUUCUAUCAAAGAGAAGUAAAAUGGUGCAGAAGGUAGACUUUG
rnacentral:lncRNA from 1 species